UACGGAGGGUGCAAGCGUUGUCCGGAAUCACUGGGCGUAAAGGGCGCGUAGGCGGCCUGGUACGUAGGGGGUGAAAUCCUGCGGCUUAACCGCAGGGCUGCCUUCUAAACUGUCAGGCUUGAGCACGGUAGAGGCAGAUGGAAUUCCCGGUGUAGCGGUGGAAUGCGUAGAGAUCGGGAAGAACAUCAGUGGCGAAGGCGGUCUGCUGGGCCGUUGCUGACGCUGAGGCGCGACAGCGUGGGGAGCAAACAGG
rnacentral:rRNA from 1 species